UAGGGGAACGUAGGGUGCUGGGGUGUUCGGCUCCGGUGCCCCUCAGGAGCCCCCCCGCAGCGGGAUCCGGGUGCCCCCGGGGAGGUGUUUGCCUGGGUGUGCCGGGGAGGAACCGGGCUGUGCCUCGCCCUCCGCCCCGCUGUGAGGGCUGAAGGGGAUGCGAAAUGCUUUCGUGUGGUGCUGGUGAAUCUGGCUUUUAAAUUAAUUUUGGGACAGAGCAACUGCUAUGAUGUGGUAGGGAGUAAUUAUAAACUGUGGAAGGUGGCGGGCGCUCUUGCUUCUCGUCAGCCAGGAUCCUGGACACGCACAAGUGUGUGGCAGAAAGGAGGUUUUUCACAGCUUUCUUCAGAUUUCCCAACAGAGGAAUGUCCUCUGACCGUGCCGUUGGAAAAUGUGGAUAGACAUUAUCCUGGAAGAACAGACUUUAAUCUGCAAAAGAGGCACAGAGACCUCACUUUCCCCAAAUGAUUCAAUGUGUCCUGAAGAUACUGGAUCAGUCCAUGAGGUGGCUCUGGCUCCUGCCUGUUUUGCUUAUGCCUGAGCCGCUGUUUCAGGGAGCUGUGGGGGAGCCAGGCUUCGUGAUCUGCUUCCCAUCAGGACUGUUCCCUGCACAAUUCUCUACACGCUCCUGCUUCUGAAGCCUCAGACAAAACUUCGUGAGUGCUGCACAGGUCAGUCCCUGGGACGAGGCAGUCUCCCAUGCCAACAAACACCUCUGUCAUUUACAAACAUUCCUGUGCUGCCAAGCUGACAGCUGCUUGCUCACAUGGCGGGGCUGCACCAGCAAUGCACAACUGUUGAACCACAGGAGAGCUGGCAACAAACCCCCUCCUCUGCCUCGUGGACACUGGUGCUGCCUCUGACGUGGAGGAGGAAACCUCUGUCCCUGACCUCCCCAGGAACAGCUCACCUUGGGUCCCUGUUUGUCAUGCCUUACCUACCAAGCUAUUAGUAUCAGGCUUUGGUGAUUAAUUGCUGCUGCAAUUCCCGUAAAGCUGGAAAAUACAGAGCCACCCCCAAUUGUGUCCUUAACUGCACGGGCCAAGUACAGCUAGAAAAUUGAAUGUGUUCAUUUUGUUAUAGUUGCUGAGAGAAGCACCAGGAGUGACUCUGUGCUUUUGGAACAAACAGUGCUUGUGACAUGAGAGUGGUUCAUUCCUUCAGCUGGACCCACAGGUAGGAAAAUGUGGGGAAAAAAGCAAUUUUUAAUCGGCACACAAGAUAACUAGUCCAUAUUACAAGGUAUCACUCUUCUCAAAAGAGACAAACAUUUCACAUCAAUGCUGUCACACCGUGCCUCACCCGUGAUGCCUCCUGAAGAAGCAGAACCACCUCCAUGCUCCUCGCUGGCACAGAUGAAACCGAACCUUGUAGUCCCAACGCAGCUUUUGCUGAAUGGAAACAGGGUGGACCUGGGAAAAAGAGGCUGGGAAAGCUCAGCUUUCUGCACCUGUACUCACGAGGUGGGUAAGGACAGAGACUGCUGCUGCUGGGAAGGCUGCACAGUAGUUUCUGUAUGCACCUUCCCCACCUCAGCAGCAGCAGCAGGCCACCUGUUUCCCUGCGGUGCUGGCUCUAUCGAAGCAGGAGGAGACCCAGGUCUCCGUGUUCCCUCCUCUCCUACCUAUUGCCUGGGGCAGCUUCAGGCUCCUUUCCAAGAGAAGCCUCUGCUGUUGGAGCCAGAGUUCAACCACGUUACCAAAGCCCGUGGUGUCUUGAAACUAAGCACGCCCGCAGCUGCUGGGAAGUGAGCGAAGGCGCUCUGAGAACAGCCAGUUCCCUUCCUCCGAGAGAUCUCCCAUCAGUUGCCAGUUCCUGAACUUUGGCUCCGGCCAGGAGGCAGUCAGCAAAUCAGAUAAUUGCCUGGCAGUGAUUGAUACAGAGUCAAGGGUGAGUGGGGAGGGGGGGAAUGAGCGGGGAGGAUUGUGUUUCAGAGGGAAGUGUUUUUUUAGGAUUUGUCUAUGCAGGCAGUUGGGAGCUUUUUUCAGCCGCAUUGGCUUAACCUGAGCAGAAGGACUCGCUGUAGUUUUACACCUUUUCAGCAUUUCAGCUGGUUCUGCUGAAAUCUAUAUAGGGAUUAAAGAUAAGAAGGGACAGAAAAUUGGUUUCCCUGACUUUGCAGAGAAAAACUACUCAAGGCUAAAUGGAAGUUUAAUAUAUUUUGACUGUAUUAAUGCAGAGAGGAAGAGCGGGCACCUGCCGCUGAUAAAUAACUAUUAGGAAACAGUAUUAGAAAAAAGAAAUGCUGCUGCUGGGAUCUGCAUUCAGCAUUGGGGUGUUCAUAACCAGGCAGCUCAAAAUUUACUUAGGUAUCAACAGCUUGUGUGCAGCUUCUCUCAAACGCAGCACAGCAGCCCUGCUAGAGAAGCCUGCACUCAGGCUCUGAUAAGGAAGGGAAGUCAGCUCGUUGCACAGCUCAACAUUUCAGCCCUCCAAUCAGCCAUACCUAGGGUUAGCAACAGCAUCGUGUACUUCAGCAAAUUUACAUUCAAACUGCUAUCUACAAAGGGAAGUAAAGCUUAUCUGUAGCCUAUUGCUGUAACUUUGAUACUGAUCUUUAUAGCCAUGUUUCCAGUAAGCCUAGUGAGAACCUGUGAGUUAUAAACUGCUUAAACUGAACUGUCUGAAUGUAGAGAUGUUAGUAAAAUUCCUAUCCAUCUUCUAAUUAAGGUUUUUACCAGGUUUGAGAUAUAGUUGCAGAACUAUUGUAACACCAAGCUGAUGGGAAAUGUCUGCAGUCAUACACAAAUGGCGCUGCAUUAGAAAUGCUGUUCCAUUUCAAGCACGCAGCAUCACGCAGUGUACUCUGCCCUGCAGCCCAUUCCCUCGCUUCCACUGGGUGCUUUCUCAAGGCAGUGUCUGCUGCACAGAAAGAGGGGAUAGUCAUUUGGCAAAUUUUGCAUGGCAGAAUCUGAGACACGAGCAGCUUUUUAAACAUUCCCAGGCACCCUACCCAAAACUUUUCUCCUCCCACCACUGGUGUUGGAAAGCAGCCGCUGUUCCCGAUCUCCAUCUUCUGUAUUUUACUGAUCUAAAAGCACCAAAUGGAAUCGAGCAUGUUAAACAGCCAGAAUUUUAUUAUGCAAAAUGCAAAGCUCUCCGAAAACUUCAGCUUGGGAAGAAUAUAAUUAGGAUAAUUGAAAUUGGAAAAAGGAUCUGAAGUGCUAAAAAAAAGAAAUGAAAGAAAAGGCAUCAGAGGGAUAGCUUGGUAGAAGGGAGAUAGAUGGUUUACAGUGACUAGUAAGAACUGAAGUAUCUUUCAGAGCAAGUCCUGCUGCAGGCUACGGGCAAGUGAGCCUGACCUGGUGGAGGCACAGCCAAGGUUCAAGCACUUGGAGUGCCAAACAACAGGACAGCACGCACACCGAGAAGGCUCCUCAGUGCCUGGCUCGUAGCAGAUCUCCCAUUCCCCCUCGGCACGGGUUAUUGUUAAGCCAGGAGGCUGACUGCUUUCCUCUCCAGGAUAUACGGGGAGAAGAGGCUCCUCCCUUCCAGCUGCCUGUCUGUCCUGCUGGCCAUAAAACUUCUGCAGCCUGACACAAAGCUACAGCUGCCACUAAAGGAAGCAGCAGCCCGUGGGCACCAGCUGGUGUGCUUGCUUGCUUGCUUCCGACCUUGACUUCUUCAGAUCUGCGGGUUUGUCCAUCUCGCUGACAGCCCCAGACAGCCAUCUGCUGGGCAAUCGAAAAAUAAAAAUAAAAAAAAUUAAACAGCACUCACAACCAGGACGGUUGUUGCAGUUCUUCCUAUGAGAUCAGGAUCUGCCCACGAUGACAGGACAGCUGGAACAGGCAGGUGUUUGGAAUUUUGAGAGCAUGUGCACAUCUGUCCCUCCCAACAAGUGUCAGUAUUUCUGGAACACAUAACUUAAGAGGGAAGGAAAGGAAAAAAAAAUAAUAAUAAAAUAAUAAAAAAACAGCUUCAUGAAACUUCUUAAAGCUGACAGAAAUCUACUAGGCAUUGCAGGCAGAAAGAUGACCAGAGCAGAUGGGGAGCCAAGGCAGCACAGAGAGAGCGUUGGGUUGUUAGGAAGCACAGACCUGUUCCUCUUGAAACAAGUUUGGAUUUAGCCUCAGCAAACCUAGAUUUGUGUUUAAAACAUCUCAGAGAUUAACGUCCUUUAACUGCUGCUUCUCUGAACCAGUGUUAACUCAGCGUUUGUGCUUUAAGCAUUUCAUUCAUCCAUAGCUGCAGUGAUUUGAGAGGCAGGAGCAGCAGCAGGUUCCUAGGCAGUGGGGAAGGUCUGCAGCUGGCGAUAAGGCAGGGAGAACGCAGAGCCAACUCCAAGCAACCAUGCUUGUCCCACCCCACGGGCUCUCUCAAUGGUUUGACACCUCCAACCCCCUCCCAAAGGUAAAUCACCAAGGUGGACUCUGGGGAAGGCAGGUUCCCUUCUGGUCCUUCCUAAGAAUUGGGAAGGAAAAUGGAAUUCAGAGCUUCUGAAGCAGCAUUGGGUGGGAUGUACUGAGGAAAGAUCCCAUCUGUGGAAAGCCAAGGUGAGGACUGUUUCUUUAUGGCACAGCCCAACAGGCCCACAGAGGAUCAAGGGCAACCUCUCAGUUGCCUUUUCUGUGGGGUCAGCUUUGUUA